rnacentral:tRNA from 1 species
GUUUUUGUAGCUUAAAUCCAAAGCAAAGCACUGAAAAUGCUUAGAUGGGUUUAUUACCCCAUAAACA